ACUCUAGCGGCGGACGGGUGAGUAACACGUGGGUAACCUGCCUCAAAGAGGGGAUAGCCUCCGAAAGGAGAUUAAUACCGCAUAACAUUAUCUCUUCGCAUGAAGAGAUAAUCAAAGGAGUAAUCCGCUUUGAGAUGGACCCGCGGCGCAUUAGCUAGUUGGUGAGGUAAUGGCUCACCAAGGCAACGAUGCGUAGCCGACCUGAGAGGGUGAUCGGCCACAUUGGAACUGAGAUACGGUCCAGACUCCUACGGGAGGCAGCAGUGGGGAAUAUUGCGCAAUGGGGGAAACCCUGACGCCAGCAACGCCGCGUGGGUGAAGAAGGCCUUCGGGUUGUAAAGCUCUGUCUUCUGGGACGAUAAUGACGGUACCAGAGGAGGAAGCCACGGCUAACUACGUGCCAGCAGCCGC
rnacentral:rRNA from 1 species